GGCUGUACGGUGGUGCAGUUGGUAGCACUGUUGCCUUGCGGCAAAAAGGUCCUGGGUUCAAAUCCCAACUUGGGUCU